CUACCCAGCUGGUUUUCUGUACAUCUUUACGGGGCUUUACUAUGCUACGGACCGGGGCACUGACAUCCCUACGGCCCAGAACAUCUUUGCUGUACUCUACCUUGUCACCUUGGUGCUUGUUUUCUUGAUAUACCACCAGACCUCCAAGCUAUGGCAUUGCUCUUCCUCAGCGUCAACCUCUUCCUGGCGCAGCGCUGGAGCUGGGGCUGCUGCUGUUUCAGCCUGGCCGUCUCGGUGAAGAUGAACGUGCUCCUUUUCGCCCCAGGAUUGCUAUUCCUUCUUCUUACUCAGUUCGGCUUCCGUGGCGCCCUCCCCAAGCUGGCCCUCUGCGCUGCUCUUCAGGUGGUGCUGGGAUUGCCCUUCCUGUUAGAGAACCCCGUUGGCUACCUGUCGCGCUCCUUUGACCUUGGCCGUCAGUUUCUUUACCAAUGGACAGUGAAUUGGCGUCUCCUGCCUGAAGCCAUCUUCCUGCACCGUGCCUUCCAUCUGGCCCUGCUGGCUGCCCAUCUUAGCUUCCUCUUGCUAUUUGCCCUCUGUAGGUGGCACAGAACAGGGGAAAGUAUUCUGUCGCUGC
rnacentral:lncRNA from 1 species